rnacentral:rRNA from 1 species
AGUGAACGCUGGCGGUAGGCCUAACACAUGCAAGUCGAACGGCAGCACAGUAAGAGCUUGCUCUUACGGGUGGCGAGUGGCGGACGGGUGAGGAAUACAUCGGAAUCUACUUUUUCGGGGGGGAUAACGUAGGGAAACUUACGCUAAUACCGCAUACGACCUACGGGUGAAAGCAGGGGAUCUUCGGACCUUGCGCGAUUGAAUGAGCCGAUGUCGGAUUAGCUAGUUGGCGGGGUAAAGGCCCACCAAGGCGACGAUCCGUAGCUGGUCUGAGAGGAUGAUCAGCCACCCUGGAACUGGGACACGGUCCAGACUCCUACGGGAGGCAGCAGUGGGGAAUAUUGGACAAUGGUCGCAAGCCUGAUCCAGCCAUACCGCGUGUGUGACGAAGGCCUUCGGGUUGUAAAGCCCUUUUGUUGGGAAAGAACAGCAGCAGGUUAAUACCCCGCUGUUCUGACGGUACCCAAAGAAUAAGCACCGGCUAACUUCGUG